CUCCCAUUUACUUUUUUUUUUGUAGGUUUCGAUCGACAGCUGAUCGUCGAUCUCGUUAUGUAUAUUCGGCGUUUGUGUUCACCUUCGAUUUUCUGCUGCCUGCUUUUCUAUUUGGCCGAAUCUACGGCCGAUCGAUGAAGAUUUUAUAAUUUUUCUUCUGAUCCUCCGUUUGAAUUUACGUUGGGCUGAUUUUUGUUCGCUUUUCUGCUUAGAUGAAGCUCGGAGAGAUCUGUUUUUUCAGCAAUCAGCUGAUUCGGUGAAAUUUGUCCAUUGAUCUGGCCAUGGUAAACGAUCUUAUUCAUGCUCAGCCGAGCACGAGAGGCUUUCCAUACCUGAAAUUGUCAUUCAUCGUCUCAAAAACUGGUGAAACUUUAUUGGUUAAACAACGAGAGAAGUCCAAGGUGCGGGUCGCCAUUUGUAUAAAUGGAACUCUAGGUAGUGUUGUAGUCGUAUGUAAAAAAAAGUGAGGAGUGAUGUUUGAGACUCUGAGAGAAGAUGAGUGGGUGAGCUUAUCGGCCUUUACCAUGUUGGGUGCGCUCGCAUGGUAGGUCACCACAUAAUAAAAGCUAUUUUUUGUGUUUAGAGGGGAGAUGGUACGGUGAUUUGCCCGGCUCUCCUCUCUUGUGUGCGGUGUCCUUCGUUUUUUUGCUUCUCUUCUUUACCCAUAUCCCCUUCGCCAUCAUCUAGUUCAGCACUUAUAACUCCGUCAAACAGUUUCAGUGUUUGGUGGCUUUGAAUGGUAAAAUUUUGAGCCAUUCAUUCAAGACCAAAACAUGAUAUAAAUCGACGCAAAUGAACUCCCUCAGGGUUGGGGCCGACGAAUUCACCUAUAAGGUACAAAUUAGCACUCUGCCUCUUUACGUUGUUAAUUUUCUUCUAACCGUGUCUCUAAGUUAUCCAGUGAUUCAAUAAGGCAUCAGUUAUAAUUACGCACUCUACUAUCCAUCAAUAGUCUUCAAUUUAUCCACUACUGUAAAUGAUCUGAUUUACCAAACCUCAAGUCUGAAAACAGUUACUCAAUCAGAGCCGAACUAGACAAAUUUUCUUUGCAGAGGGCAAUUAAUUUCUGAAUUUCAUCCAUCCUUUUCCGGAAUCCACUACACACCACACAUGAAAUAAUUGCACGUUCAUGCACCACAACAAGAAGCACAACAAGUGCAUGAUUGCAGGCUCAUGUCACAGUUCCUUCUUGCAUGUGAACUUAUAAAUUGUCAAUCAGUUAAAUUCAACUAUAUAUUGUCUCUUCCUGCAUUCCAAUCAUAUUCAAUGACUCGAUGUGUCUGUUUGUCUACAAGGUUGUACAUUUUGAACAGUAUGGUUUUACUCCUUUUGCUUUCCCUCAAAGUUAAUGACUCAAUAUAUAUGUCUGUUUGUUUACAAAGUUGUACACUUGAACACUAUGGUUUCAGCUAUCUUAAGCUAUUAUUUCUUGUAAUAUAUUAAGACAGUUGUGGUGAUUUGAUCUGUUGGUUUACCUCUAUUAGUUUUUUAUUUGGAUGGAUCUUAUAGCUUUUAGGUAGUGUCCAUGUAAUUCCUUAUGCUGUGAAGGCACGGCCUUUUACUUUACUAAUGUAUUAGCUACCUGGUUGUGAACCAUAUUACUUUCAAGGCUCUGCUGUUUCUUAGAGAAAGGCGCUGAUGAAGUUAAUGAGAAGUAGUUUAUUUUCCAAACUAAGAUGAUGGAAUCUAGACUGAUUCCACAGUUGGAUAUGGAAUAUGCUGGUACUGCUAAAUGAGGUUCUGAUAUUGAAGGGACCAUCUCAAGAGUGAUUGGUGGUUUGUUUUUGAGUUUAUGAAGAUAUUUUGCCCAUUGAAUAGAUGAUUUCUCAACCGUGACUUAUUGCAUAUUUUCAAGAAUAUGAAUAUUCCAUAGUUUGAAGAUUUUUCUCCCAUCAACUGUUGCUGAGGUUCUUUGGAACUUGUUAGCUCUUUUGGCUGAAUUGAUUCCUUCAAUCUAUUCAACUGCUAGUUGGCGUUAAGCUUUCCUCUUGUUUCUGCUUCUGACUGUAAACACUGUUCAGCUGGCCAAGCGUGACUUAUGAUGAUGAUAGCAGCUGCUGGGCUUGAGAAUACAGCAGUGCCCUUUGCUCCACUGCAUUGUAACAGUGCCAGCAAUUGUGAGAACAAGUUAUUAGUUCAUAUCAAAUACAACCGGAUGUGUAAAAGAAUCUUGAAGUGGAAAAUGAAGUUGCAAAUUGUCAUUCAAGAAGAUUGAAGUGUGAAAUAUGAACAAAUGGGAAAUUAAGGCUGAGCUCCAUUUCUGGAGUACUAGUGUAUUCGAUGUGAAGUUGAUCAGUGAGCUGCUCUUUGUGAAGAAAUUGAUCCAAAGGUUAUGCUGCGUUUGGUAUGAUUUCUGGAUCUAUGUUCUCGAAAGUGGUAAAAACUGGUGAGAAGUUUUGUUUUGAUAUAUGGAUGGAUUCAUGAGCUCAGAAAUGGUAGAGCGCUCAAUCACCCAGAGGGUGCAUUGGGAGGAUGGUGGUUCAAUUCCACCUGGAUCCCUUACUUUGUAGUAUUAUUAAAUAGACUAAAGUUCAAUUUUAGUCUCAUACUUUAAGUUUGUGAUUUUUUGGUCCAUAACAUAUUGUUUUUUA